rnacentral:miRNA from 11 species
CCCCAUCAUCUCUUGAGGCACUUGUUUUGAGUGCCUCUGGGGAUUUGCAAUACACACACACACACACACACACACAAGUGAAUAACCACAACCACUCACA